GAUAAAGUUGAAGACUUCAAAAUUAAUAAUAAUCAACAUUCCCUUUAUAGCGAUAACUUUACAUGUAAUGUUUGUUGCUUAAAAGCCAGCGUCAAAUGGAUAUUCAUGUUCUAUUUGCAAAUCCACAGAGCUUGUUAUUUGUGGUAAAGAAGAUUAUGGAACAUCUGUUUUGUGGUUUAGUAUUUUUUUUUUUUUUUUUUUUUUUUUUUUUUUUUUGUAAAAUGAACAAGAAAAUUCAAACUGAGAGAACUUACGCAUCUAAAUGUCAUGAAGAUGAAACAGGCAGAACUAAGGAUCGAUAAAUAGAACAAAAUUUUAGAGGAAGCUGGCAUUUGGUGUAAUAUUCUCAUAGCA
rnacentral:lncRNA from 1 species